UUCAGUUACCAACUUUUAUCGUCAGUGAAAUGUGUAAGGACUUGACUAAUGUGACUAAUCUCUGUAACAGUGACUGCAGAGCCUUUAUUCAGCUCAAAAUAUUUGAAAACGAUGAGCAUUGUAGUGCCACAUGGAGUUUGAGUGGAGUGGUUGUAUUAAAAACGAGCAGGGAAAUUAAAUCUGGAGCCCAUAGAGGAGGACUUAGCAGUGCUAAAGACUCAUAUAAAGUCGCUCUGACAGAUGCUGAUACACAGAGCAGGGUGUGACGGCGGCCCGCUCCAUCACUCAUCUCCAUCCACACACAUCGGUUCAGUUCUCAUGACGCUCAGAGAUGAAAAAUAAUUAAUUCAACAGCUACUGAAGCACAGAAUCACAUCCAUUCUGACUGCCACUGGCUAUUGUUGUUGGCUUUUGAAAUAUAUGAUGAUCAUCUUA